rnacentral:tRNA from 1 species
GGGCUCGUGGCGCAGUUGGUUAGCGCGCUUCCUUGACAUGGAAGAGGUCACAAGUUCGAAUCUUGUCGAGCCCA